rnacentral:lncRNA from 1 species
AUCUUAAUUUUCAAUGAAAUAAUUUUCAAAGAGAAUAUAUAGGGCUAGCUUCUGAAAAAGUAAUUUUUGAAAAAGUGAUUUUAGUUUGGAAAAAUAAUUUUGGUUAAAAACUAUAGAGCAUUUGACAGAGUUUAGAUAAAAGUGAUUUUUCUAAAGUGAUUUUGAAAAACUAAAAUUUAAAUCUUAAAUAUUCAAAAUUAAAAUUUAAAAUUUGAAAUCUAUUUUUUAAAAUUUAAAAGUUAAAAUUUAAAAAUUCAAAAAUAAAUCAUUUAAAUUUAAAUUUAAAUAUUAAAUUUAAAUUUAAAUAUUGAAAUUAAAAUAAAAAUAAAAAAUUGAAGUUUAAAUUCAAAAUCAGAAUCAGAUUUCAAAAAGUAACUUUUUUCUGCUUCUGAUUUUGGGCAUUCAAAAUCAGUUUUCUGAUUCUAAAAAACAUAAUCAGAUUUUAAAAGGAAGUUCCCAAACGUUCUAUUGAGCCGAAAAUUAUUUUUCAGCCCGAAAGCGUUUUUUAAAAGUU